rnacentral:ncRNA from 1 species
CUAUGAUUUAAUUUAAAUCAUGGCGGAAGGAG